rnacentral:rRNA from 1 species
AGAGUUUGAUCCUGGCUCAGGAUGAACGCUAGCUACAGGCUUAACACAUGCAAGUCGAGGGGAAACGACAUCGAAAGCUUGCUUUUGAUGGGCGUCGACCGGCGCACGGGUGAGUAACGCGUAUCCAACCUGCCCAUCACUUGGGGAUAACCUUGCGAAAGUAAGACUAAUACCCAAUGACGUCUCUAGAAGACAUCUGAAAGAGAUUAAAGAUUUAUCGGUGAUGGAUGGGGAUGCGUCUGAUUAGCUUGGUUGGCGGGGUAACGGCCACAAGGCGACGAUCAGUAGGGGUUCUGAGAGGAAGGUCCCCCANAUUGGAACUGAGACACGGUCCAAACUCCUAACGGGAGGCA